rnacentral:tRNA from 1 species
GUGUUGGUGGUUCAGUGGUAGAAUCCUCACCUUCGAUGCAGGAGACCUGGGUUUGAUUCCCAGCCAAAGCU